GUACACUCCUGCGGGAGGCAGCAGUGGGGAAUUUUGGACAAUGGGCGAAAGCCUGAUCCAGCCAUGCCGCGUGCAGGAUGAAGGCCUUCGGGUUGUAAACUGCUUUUGUACGGAACGAAACGGCCUUUUCUAAUAAAGAGGGCUAAUGACGGUACCGUAAGAAUAAGCACCGGCUAACUACGUGCCAGCAGCCGCGGUAAUACGUAGGGUGCAAGCGUUAAUCGGAAUUACUGGGCGUAAAGCGUGCGCAGGCGGUUAUGUAAGACAGUUGUGAAAUCCCCGGGCUCAACCUGGGAACUGCAUCUGUGACUGCAUAGCUAGAGUACGGUAGAGGGGGAUGGAAUUCCGCGUGUAGCAGUGAAAUGCGUAGAUAUGCGGAGGAACACCGAUGGCGAAGGCAAUCCCCUGGACCUGUACUGACGCUCAUGCACGAAAGCGUGGGGAGCAAACAGGAUUAGAAACCCCAGUAGUCCCAUGA
rnacentral:rRNA from 1 species